rnacentral:lncRNA from 1 species
AUGGGUAUAUAAAAAGUUAAUAAAUAUUUAAUGCAUAUUAUUUACUUACAUGAAUUUUAUAUAUCAACUUUUAAAUCUCUUAUCAGUGAUACAAAUAAUUCCUCUUCUUGAAAGUGCAUUACCAUGAUAAUAACAUAAUAUAAGGCCAGCGAUAAAUUUAUGGACCACUUUGUUACUUUUACAAAUUAAAUGGAUGAAUCUGAGAAUUACCCUUUACACUAUUACAAAACCUUGCGCCGUGCAAGGAAUGUUAUAACACGUGUCAAAUGUCAACGAUGGAAAAUGGUGUAAAAAAAAAAUUUGAAAAAAAAAAUAUCAUCGUGGUAUUUAUGAUGUCAGGCUAUUAGGUGAUGAUGCAGUUAGGUGUCUUAAAACUGUAAACAAUACCUACUACAAUGAAAGAGAAACGCUAACACACGCGCCGUGAUGAAUGAGUCGUCACACGUGGAUUACACGAUGGCUUUGCUUUUGUAACACAAAAACGGUUUUUAAAUCGAUAACGAUUCAUUAUUACUCACGACUUAGUGAUGGCCAUGAUUGCUACGAUUACAAAUCUGUUUGUCGAUGCACGUUAUGUGGAAGCGGGCGAGUAGCCAAUAGCCAUAGCUCUCUCUAUAUCCGCCUCCACUUUAUUGAGUAACAUAUUUUAAGAUAAUUUUAAUUUGAGUAAUAAUGUAUUGAGGUGUUAAUUAUCGGAAAAUUUUAAGUUGUUUGAUCCAAGAUUUAGUGCAUAUGCCAUUCAAAAUCACAAUGUUCCACUUAAAGUUUACAGAGUCACUUCAUAAUGAACAACCAUUAAUUUAUGAUGACAUUAUAAAUUUAGAACAAAAAUUAUUAAUGGUUCAUCCAAAGUUUAAUUAAACACUCUUAAUUUACUAAAUAUUUUACUGUUCUACCUUAAAAAAUUACAGUUGUUCAACCACAAUUACAAACGCACCUUUAAAAGGAGAAAAAAAAAAGACACCACUUUGCUAUUAAACUCAAUGUAUAUUCAUAGAUUUUCUUGUCAUUUGAUUUGUCAAGGAGAAAGCACAUAUGGACGUAAUAAAUUUUGACCAUCCAUUUUCACCAGUACACUUUGCUUCUUUUUAAUAUAUGAACUCCUUUAUAACAAUUCUAACCUUGUUCAUAUAGAGAAAAUGAUAGUUUUUCUAUGUCAUUUAAUUCUAAGUAGAUGAGUCGAGUCUUUCUAAUGGUUAUAGGAGUUUAUUUCUCAUUAAUUUUGAAUCCUUGGUUUCAAUAGUGUUAGCUAUUUAUAAUGGUAUUGUAUAGAAUAUUAUUAAAAAAUACAUU